AUAUCAGUAAGCGGAGGAAAAGAAACUAACGAGGAUUCCCUCAGUAACGGCGAGUGAACGGGGAAGAGCCCAGCGCUAAAUCCUGUUGCUCUAACGGGUAACGGGAGGUGUAGCGUAUAGUAGGCGAAUUUCCUUGAUGGCUGUCGACUUAAAUUCUCCUUGACUGGGGUUCCAGAGAAGGUGAAAGGCCUGUUCAGUCGAUGGCCGUCUUGGAUUCCGUUCUACUUGGAGUCGGGUUGUUUGGGAACGCAGCCCAAAUUGGGUGGUAAACUUCAUCUAAGGCUAAAUACGGCCACGAAACCGAUAGCAAACAAGUACCGUGAGGGAAAGUUGAAAAGUACUUUGAAGAGAGAGUUCAAGAGGACGUGAAACCGGUAGGAUGGAAACGGAUAGAGCCAACGAACAAGCCCGUAUUCAGCUAGUCGGCUGCGUGCGGCAUGCCUGUGUGCUCGUUCAGGGUGCAUGGGUGUGUGCGGUAUGCGGUCGGCUAGUGCAUUUGCGGGUGAUGUGCGCUGAGGCGUGUGGCGGAGUCCUGCAAACUGUCUGGAGAGGCCUCGCCUU
rnacentral:rRNA from 1 species